CGCUGGCGUCACCAUUCGAGGGCCGAGGCGCCGUGCGGUUACGUGGACAUCUGAAUUGCGCGUUAAACACCUCAGUAAUUGAACACCGGUGUCAUUAGUUUGUGUAGUGGUCGUUAAUUGUACUUUGCAGUAGUGCAGGCAAAGGAAGCGUUAGACUCUCUAGCUUCCAUGGAGCUGACUUUGCCGGGAGAAGCCAGUGAGCGUGGGUACUGAGCGCUGGCAGCAGGGAGUGUGGUGCUGGAGGCCUGGUGUUCCCUGUCUGAUUUACUCCGUGGCGACGCCGGACAACAGUAGGAGCGAGCCGAAAAAAAUCCUAUCCCACAAACGAAAUGUCGUCUAAAACCUCCAAUAUCUCACCCUGACUUCACUCAACGUGGCGGUGAGUAGCAGCGUCCGCCGCCUGUCACGGGACCGCCUACCUCCACUAAUGACCGACUUGGUGACGUCUGACGCCUCCAAGUCCCUGAUUUCUGUUACAGAAUACCACCACCACCUCCUCCUCCUCCUCCUCCUCCUCCUCCUCCUCCUCCUCCUCCUCCUCCUCCUCCUCCUACCUUGACAUUGCCACCUCACCCCCUCGCGUGCUUUCCUCAGCCUCCGCUCAUCACAUCAUGACCUGCCGUGCCUGUCUUCCUGAAUGGCAGCCGCGAUGUCUUCAUCUUCAACUUGCGCCUCAUUCCCUGCAAACUCAUACGUCUUCUUGAGCGGCGGGUUUGCAAGCGAGAUAAAAAGAAAAAGAAAAAAGGACAAAAGGGAAAAAAAAAAACGGAGAGAGAAAACGGACAGUAGGAAGCGAACUGAAAUGCUGAAACGAUAUCGAAUGAAAAUAAAUAAAUAAAUACUACUUUUCAAAGACGGAUAUUCAAGUGCAAGAUGAACCUUGAAAUUUUCAUAUUACUAAACAAAUACUUAAAGAAUAAAAAAAACUUUCGAUCAAUAAGGGCUUCAAUUGUAAACACCCAUUGAAAUCUUGCAAGGCCACAAAAAAAAAAGGCUAAACACAAUGAAUCGGAUUUAAAUUGUGACGAGCCAUUGAAAAAGAAAGAUAAUCACCAAAAAAAAAAAAUAAAUAAUAAAAUAAAUAAAUAAAAAAAAAAUAAAUAAAAAAAUGAAAUAAAUAAAUAAAUACAAAAAUAUUGGUCAGAUAUUCAACUAUAAGAAGUGGAGUGAAUAUUUUGAGGCGGGGUAGGCGGCCGGGAGCUCCAUCCAGUGCGGGGCCAGAACCUUACAAGAGAGGCCCGGGAAAAUGUUGAGGUCCCGCAGUGAAGUGGCUGGCCUUGGAGUGUCCCUGCGAGAGGCCGAGAUAAAAGCUUCCCUUCCACGCUGACUUACGCUGCUGCUAAACUUUUCUCGGCAGCGUUUUCCAGUAAUGCUGCGACACUCUGGCUGAAGGCAUAGCGCCACGCAACGCAACGCAACGCAACGCACCGCAUGGCUCUGAAGUGCGGCGUUCUUUUUAUGAAUUUUUAAUUGGACGUGACAGCUUUCCGCCACGUUGGCACGCCGCUUAUAUGAUCUACAGUCAAAAAAGGGUCAUCCGCCUGGCUUGCACCCGCAGAUUACUGACCAUUUUGCGGCCAACGAUAUUGUUUUUUGUAUUGGUCAUUGUGAUCUGCUUUAUUAUUUUUUUUUUCCGCGUAAGACUUGUUUUGGCUGUACGUGUUAAAAAUAUAACAAAAAAAUGAGGACAUACAGGAAAAUAAAUACUGUUUUUGUGCUUUUUUUAUUUUCCACCACGUUUGGUUGUGUGUUAACAUGACAAGUCCAUGAGAAACGUAAGGGAAGGGAAAUAAAGUCUUUGUUCUUUAUUUUCCACAGCAUCCGUUUGCUUCUUUGUAGUGGAACACGGCAAUCCAGGCCCAUGUACGUUCCCGGUGUAGUAUUACGAAAUGAGUGAGGUUCUUAGCCUCUCUUUUUCGCCACGUAUGUUUGGUUAUAGUGAAACGCGGUAGUCUAGAACCAUAGACUUUCAUGCGGUUUACUUAUACUGUGUAGUUCCUACCCUUCAUUAACCAGAUUAGUUUGGUUGUAUGUGAUAAGAAUAGAGUAAUGGCAAGGAAAAAAUAUGAACAGAAUAAUGGCAAGAAAAAAUAUGAAGAGGAAUAGCAAGAAGAAAUAAAGGAAGCUGCAUGAAGCCUAUUCCCCUACAUGUGCACCAGGCAGUCGCUGUAUUAAACGCGCACACGUCAUUUCAUUCUCUCUCUCUCUCUCUCUCUCUCUCUCUCUCUCUCUCUCUCUCUCUC